rnacentral:rRNA from 1 species
CCUACGGGAGGCAGCAGUGGGGGAUAUUGGACAAUGGGGGGAACCCUGAUCCAGCGACGCCGCGUGAGUGAAGAAGUAUUUCGGUAUGUAAAGCUCUGUCAGCAGGGAAGAAAGAAAUGACGGUACCUGAGCAAGAAGCCCCGGCUAACUACGUGCCAGCAGCCGCGGUAAUACGUAGGGGGCAAGCGUUAUCCGGAAUUACUGGGUGUAAAGGGAGCGUAGACGGUUAAGUAAGUCUGGAGUGAAAGGCCGGGGCCCAACCCCGGGACUGCUCUGGAAACUAUUUAACUUGAGUGCAGGAGAGGUAAGCGGAAUUCCUGGUGUAGCGGUGAAAUGCGUAGAUAUUAGGAGGAACACCAGUGGCGAAGGCGGCUUACUGGACUGUAACUGACGUUGAGGCUCGAAAGCGUGGGGAGCAAACAGGAUUAGAUACCCCGGUAGUC